rnacentral:rRNA from 1 species
AUUGAACGCUGGCGGCAGGCCUAACACAUGCAAGUCGAGCGGAUGAAGGGAGCUUGCUCCUGGAUUCAGCGGCGGACGGGUGAGUAAUGCCUAGGAAUCUGCCUGGUAGUGGGGGAUAACGUCCGGAAACGGGCGCUAAUACCGCAUACGUCCUGAGGGAGAAAGUGGGGGAUCUUCGGACCUCACGCUAUCAGAUGAGCCUAGGUCGGAUUAGCUAGUUGGUGGGGUAAAGGCCUACCAAGGCGACGAUCCGUAACUGGUCUGAGAGGAUGAACAGUCACACUGGAACUGAGACACGGUCCAGACUCCUACGGGAGGCAGCAGUGGGGAAUAUUGGACAAUGGGCGAAAGCCUGAUCCAGCCAUGCCGCGUGUGUGAAGAAGGUCUUCGGAUUGUAAAGCACUUUAAGUUGGGAGGAAGGGCAGUAAGUUAAUACCUUGCUGUUUUGACAUUACCAACAGAAUAAGCACCGGCUAACUUCGUG